CCUACGGGUGGCAGCAGUGAGGAAUAUUGGUCAAUGGCCGAGAGGCUGAACCAGCCAAGUCGCGUGAGGGAAGACGGCCCUACGGGUUGUAAACCUCUUUUGUCGGGGAGCAAAGCGAGUCACGUGUGACUCAUUGAGAGUACCCGAAGAAAAAGCAUCGGCUAACUCCGUGCCAGCAGCCGCGGUAAUACGUAGGGGGCAAGCGUUAUCCGGAUUUACUGGGUGUAAAGGGAGCGUAGACGGCGUGCCAAGUCUGAUGUGAAAGGCCGGGGCUCAACCCCGGGACUGCAUUGGAAACUGGCAUGCUGGAGUGCCGGAGGGGCAAGCGGAAUUCCUAGUGUAGCGGUGAAAUGCGUAGAUAUUAGGAGGAACACCGGUGGCGAAGGCGGCUUGCUGGACGGUAACUGACGUUGAGGCUCGAAAGCGUGGGGAGCAAACAGGAUUAGAUACCCCGGUAGUC
rnacentral:rRNA from 1 species